rnacentral:rRNA from 1 species
AAUCAACGCUGGCGGCGUGCCUCAGACAUGCAAGUCGAACGAUUAAAGCCCUCUUCGGAGGGUGCAUAAAGUGGCGCACGGGUGAGUAACACGUAAGUAAUCUACCUUCGAGUGGGGAAUAACAACCGGAAACGGUUGCUAAUACCGCAUAAUGCAGCGGCAUCUAUGAUGACAGUUGUUAAAGAUUUAUCGCUUGAAGAGGAGCUUGCGGCAGAUUAGCUAGUUGGUAAGGUAACGGCUUACCAAGGCGACGAUCUGUAUCCGGUCUAAGAGGACGGUCGGACACACUGACACUGAAUAACGGGUCAGACUCCUACGGGAGGCAGCAGUCGGGAAUUUUGGGCAAUGGGCGAAAGCCUGACCCAGCAACGCCGCGUGAAGGAUGAAGUAUUUCGGUAUGUAAACUUCGUAAGAAUGGGAAGAAUAAAUGACGGUACCAUUUGUAAGCUCCGGCUAACUACGUGCCAGCAGCCGCAGUAA